UUCAAAAUGAUGACAAUUUUACAUUAACUGAUUGCCAUUUUUUGUAUGUUCUAUUCUUGAAUUGCAAAAGCCGGCAAGUAACAAGAUGACCACCGAGGCAUUUGUCUGAUUGAACU